rnacentral:rRNA from 1 species
AGAGUUUGAUCCUGGCUCAGAUUGAACGCUGGCGGAAUGCUUUACACAUGCAAGUCGAACGGCAGCACGGGAGCUUGCUCCUGGUGGCGAGUGGCGAACGGGUGAGUAAUGCGUCGGAACGUGCCGAGUAAUGGGGGAUAACGCGGCGAAAGUCGCGCUAAUACCGCAUACGCCCUGAGGGGGAAAGCGGGGGAUCGCAAGACCUCGCGUUAUUCGAGCGGCCGACGUCUGAUUAGCUAGUUGGUGGGGUAAAGGCCCACCAAGGCGACGAUCAGUAGCGGGUCUGAGAGGAUGAUCCGCCACACUGGGACUGAGACACGGCCCAGACUCCUACGGGAGGCAGCAGUGGGGAAUUUUGGACAAUGGGGGCAACCCUGAUCCAGCCAUUCCGCGUGAGUGAAGAAGGCCUUCGGGUUGUAAAGCUCUUUCAGCUGGAACGAAACGGUGCGCUCUAACAUAGCGUGCUAAUGACGGUACCAGCAGAAGAAGCACCGGCUAACUACGUGCCAGCAGCCGCGGUAAUACGUAGGGUGCGAGCGUUAAUCGGAAUUACUGGGCGUAAAGCGUGCGCAGGCGGAUUGUUAAGCAAGACGUGAAAUCCCCGGGCUUAACCUGGGAAUGGCGUUUUGAACUGGCAGUCUAGAGUGCGUCAGAGGGGGGUGGAAUUCCACGUGUAGCAGUGAAAUGCGUAGAGAUGUGGAGGAACACCGAUGGCGAAGGCAGCCCCCUGGGAUGACACUGACGCUCAUGUACGAAAGCGUGGGUAGCAAACAGGAUUAGAUACCCUGGUAGUCCACGCCCUAAACGAUGUCAACUGGUUGUUGGGGGAGUGAAAUCCCUUAGUAACGAAGCUAACGCGUGAAGUUGACCGCCUGGGGAGUACGGUCGCAAAAUU